rnacentral:rRNA from 1 species
CGAGCAACGCCGCGUGAACGAUGAAGUAUUUCGGUAUGUAAAGUUCUUUUAUUGAAGAAGAAAAAAUAGUGGAAAAACUAUCUUGACGAUAUUCAAUGAAUAAGCCCCGGCAAACUAUGUGCCAGCAGCCGCGGUAAUACAUAGGGGGCGAGCGUUAUCCGGAAUUAUUGGGCGUAAAGGGUGCGUAGGCGGUUUGGUAAGUCUAUAGUUUAAUUUCAGUGCUUAACACUGUUCUGCUAUAGAAACUAUCAGACUAGAGUGAGAUAGAGGCAAGUGGAAUUCCAUGUGUAGCGGUAAAAUGCGUAAAUAUAUGGAGGAACACCAGAGGCGUAGGCGGCUUGCUGGGUCUUUACUGACGCUGAGGCACGAAAGCGUGGGGAGCAAACAGGAUUAGAUACCCUGGUAGUCCACGCCGUAAACGAUGAGUACUAAGUGUCGGGGAAACUCGGUACUGAAGUUAACACAUUAAGUACUCCGCCUGAGUAGUACGUACGCAAGUAUGAAACUUAAAGGAAUUGACGGGACUCCGCACAAGCGGUGGAUCAUGUUGUUUAAUUCGAAGAUACACGAAAAACCUUACCAGGUCUUGACAUACUCUGCAAAGCUAUAGCAAUAUAGUGGAGGUUAUCAGGGAUACAGGUGGUGCAUGGUUGUCGUCAGCUCGUGUCGUGAGAUGUUAGGUUAAGUCCUAAAACGAGCGCAACCCUUGUCACUAGUUGCCAGCAUGUUAUGAUGGGCACUUUAACGAGACUGCAAAUGAAAAAUU